UACGUAGGGACCAAGCGUUGUUCGGAUUUACUGGGCGUAAAGGGCGCGUAGGCGGUGUGUUAAGUCAGUUGUGAAAUCUCCAAGCUUAACUUGGAACGGUCAACUGAUACUGAUGUGCUAGAGUGCAGAAGGGGCAACCGGAAUUCUUGGUGUAGCGGUGAAAUGCGUAGAUAUCAAGAGGAACACCUGAGGUGAAGACGGGUUGCUGGGCAACAACUGACGCUGAGGAGCGAAAGCGUGGGGAGCGAACAGG
rnacentral:rRNA from 1 species